UACAGAGGGUGCGAGCGUUAAUCGGAAUUACUGGGCGUAAAGCGUGCGUAGACGGUUAUUUAAGUCGGGUGUGAAAGCCCCGGGCUCAACCUGGGAACUGCAUUCGAGACUGAAUAGCUAGGGUACGGUAGAGGGAAGUGGAAUUUCCGGUGUAGCGGUGAAAUGCGUAGAUAUCGGAAGGAACAUCAGUUGCGAAGGCGGCUCUCUGGACCAGCACUGACACUGAGGCACGAAAGCGUGGGGAGCAAACAGG
rnacentral:rRNA from 1 species